AGCGUUGUUCGGAAUUACUGGGCGUAAAGCGCGCGCAGGCGGCUUUUCAAGUCAGUGGUGAAAGCCUGGAGCUCAACUCCAGAACUGCCAUUGAAACUGCUAAGCUUGAGUACGAGAGAGGUGAGUGGAAUUCCCAGUGUAG
rnacentral:rRNA from 1 species